rnacentral:rRNA from 1 species
GCAAGUCGAACGGCAGCAUUUCGGAUGGCAAGUGGCGAACGGGCGAGUAACGCGUCAGAUCUGCCUUAUAAUAGAGGAUAGCCCUGGGAAACUGGGAGGAAUACUCUAUGUGAUCGAAAGAUUAAAGCUACGGCGGUAUAAGAUGACUGUGCGUCUGAUUAGCUAGUUGGUGAGGUAGCGGCUCACCAAGGCGACGAUCAGUAGGGGGCGUGAGAGCGUGAUC